CUGCCCAAAAUACAAAAUACCAAGAACACAGAUUGCAGGAAAAUUCUUUGCCAAUUUUUCAACAGAAACUUUAAGACAGUCAAGGUGUUUGGUUCACUCUAAUCGCACGUUUGGUUCACUCUAAUCGAACGCCAAGAACAGUAGUUCAAUUCUCAAAAAAAAAGAAUGCACAAAGUGAUAAUUUAGUAUUGGUGUUAGUGUAAGAUUGGUUUUAAUUUUUUUAGUGUAUAUUUUAUUAUCAUUAUCGUUAAUUGCAAAUUAAUUUGACCAUUGUACGAGAUAAGUAUAUUAUUCUUGUAGGAAGAAUGUUUAUGAAUUAACUUCCAAUCUUAUCAAGUACCAUUUCCAGUGAGCCCUAAGCCCUAGCCAUUAUUUUUCCACAAGCAGGAAGCAAAUCCAUUGGAUACUCGAUACAUGAGUAUUUGUCCUACACUUUGGGAUCCCCCAGCCAAAAAUAAGAGCAAGAGCUGGGCUUCCUUCCAAGGAAGCGAAUGAGGAACCAAAACUUUUGGCAAACAGAGAACAAUCAAAAUGGAAAAUACGAAGCUGCGAAAAGAGAUGCGAGCAGCGGAGAAGGGGGAAGAAGAGGAGCCAGAGAAAACGAGGGCAGCCAAACGAAGGCGCAAAGGGGGGCGGCGGCCAAGUGGGUGGGGCGGCCUAAAUCGCAUUGGGUCGCUCAGAAACACAAAAACCAGAAUAAAAGCCGGCUGGAAU
ensembl:ncRNA lncRNA:CR46494 long non-coding RNA:CR46494